rnacentral:lncRNA from 1 species
GUUUUGCUGUUAGUAUCAUUCUUAGUAUGUGGAUUCAUUGUAUAAUAUGUCAACCUAUAGAAGGACCCAGUCCCAGAUCUUUUCGGACACUUUGGCCAGAGGACCGAUGAUGAUGUCCUCUUUCGUCGGCCGCUCUACUCCAACUGCUGCUCUCCCCUCCGUUUGCUUAUUCAACUUCCUUCGGAUGUUGUUCGUUUCUUCCGACUGUGUGAUAUUAAACAACGCAACAUUCUCACGGAAGAUCACCGAUUUCCCUGAGUAUCAUUAUACCGUCGCGAUUACAUAUUUAAUAUAAAUUUUCUGGUUAUACAAUACGAAGAUAUAUAUAUAUAUAAGUACACAUACAAGAAAAACAUAUUAUAUAAGUGAUAUUAUAAGUGAAAGUGAUUAUAAUGGAUGUUGACAGUCUCGGUCUUGACA